AGUGAACGCUGGCGGUAGGCCUAACACAUGCAAGUCGAACGGCAGCACAGUAAGAGCUUGCUCUUACGGGUGGCGAGUGGCGGACGAGUGAGGAAUACAUCGGAAUCUACUUUUUCGUGGGGGAUAACGUAGGGAAACUUACGCUAAUACCGCCUACUACCUCCGGGUGAAAGCAGGGGAUCUUCGGCCCUUGCGCGUGGGAAUGAGCCGUUGUCGGAUUAGCGAGUUGGCGGGGUAAAGGCCCGCCUUGGCGCGUAUCCGUAGCUGGUCUGAGAGCAUGAAGCGCGCCACUGGAACUGAGACACGGUCCAGACUCUUACGGGCGGCAGCAGUUGGGACUAGUGGACAAUGGGCGCAAGCCUGAUCCAGCCAUACCGGGUUGGUGAAGAAGGCCUUCGGGCUGUAAAGCCCUUUUGUGGGGGAAGAAAAGCAGCAGGUUAAUACCCCGUUGUUCUGACGGUACCCAAUGAAUAAGCACCGGCUAACUUCGUG
rnacentral:rRNA from 1 species